rfam:Triticum aestivum genome assembly, contig: Triticum_aestivum_CS42_TGACv1_scaffold_392545_5AS
GUAAUACACUCUCCGUCCAAAAAUACUUGUUCUAGAAAUGGUUGUAUCUAGAUUUAUUUUGAUUAUAGAUAUAUCAAUUUUAUUCAUUUCUAGGACAAGUAUUUCCGGACGGAGGAAGUACACU